UGUUUAUGUACGUGAAACAUUAUCUGAAAUCGAUUUGGCCAAAAUCAUCCAUGUACGUGAAAUCGAUUUGGCCCACAUUAGCUUUUGCCGAUUGUUCAUGUACGUGAAACAUUAUACGCUCGAUAUUUAGAGACGGAGCUAAGGGGGCUCGGAGGGAAGAUUCGCGUCUCCCAAGCCUAAGACGGGAGACGGGGCUGGGAGGCCCGGAGGGGCGAUCCACGCCUCCCACCAGUUCCUCUGAAACCCCCCAGUCCCCCCCUUCAGGUCACUCGCAUCGGGCUUUACCCGAGACAACAUUUGGCAGCAUCUAGUGUUUUUGUAUGAAAAUGAAAAGUUCCAAGUUUACAAGAACAAUGUCUUACAUGGGUGAAAAGUAGCUUCAGUUAUCGCUUCCUUAAACCCGGCAGAUAGCAGUGCUCUGCUCAGUAGGUCACUCGCAUCGGGCUUUACCCGUGACAACACUUGGCAGCAUCUAGUGUUUUUGUAUGGAAAUGAAAGGUUCCAAGUUUACAAGAACAAAGUCUUACAAGAGGAGAAAGUAGUUUUAGGUAUCUCUUCCUUACGCCCGGAUGGUAGUAUUUUAGUGAUUGGCCAACAUCAGGGAUCUGUAGGGAGAGACUUUGACCCUUCGAAGCUGUUCUACGGCUACAUGGCAAACCUAAAUAUCUGGACAUAUGAUCUUGAUGAUUCGAAUAGGGGCAAAGUGUACGAGCAAGGGUGUACAGGCUCAGUUUACAGCAACCCAGCCUUGUCAUGGGGGACAAUUACCGGUAAAACGCUAUUGGGCAACAUACAACCACAAUGCGCACUAACAUGCCCUUAAACGUCAAGACGAUUUGAUUGACAAUGCACUGUUCUCAAUACGAGAAAUGGGCGUUCACGAUUUCCUCUUCUAGGAACCAAACAUUUGAUUAUCUGACGUCAAAUGACGAAAGACAGCUUGCCUAAGGCAAGUCCCUUUUAUAGUGCGAGUUCGUGUUUAAAGUUAUGCCUAUUGCACACCAGUGACAUAACAACAUAGGCGCGCGCACUCUUUUAAGCCCGACAUAACGACAUGGACAUUAU